rnacentral:rRNA from 1 species
GCUGGGUACUCGAGUGGCGAACGGGUGAGUAACACGUGGGUGAUCUGCCCUGCACUCUGGGAUAAGCCUGGGAAACUGGGUCUAAUACCGGAUAUGACCAUGGGAUGCAUGUUCUGUGGUGGAAAGCUUUUGCGGUGUGGGAUGGGCCCGCGGCCUAUCAGCUUGUUGGUGGGGUAAUGGCCUACCAAGGCGACGACGGGUAGCCGACCUGAGAGGGUGAUCGGCCACACUGGGACUGAGACACGGCCCAGACUCCUACGGGAGGCAGCAGUGGGGAAUAUUGCACAAUGGGCGCAAGCCUGAUGCAGCGACGCCGCGUGAGGGAUGACGGCCUUCGGGUUGUAAACCUCUUUCACCAGGGACGAAGCGUGAGUGACGGUACCUGGAGAAGAAGCACCGGCCAACUACGUGCCAGCAGCCGCGGUAAUACGUAGGGUGCGAGCGUUGUCCGGAAUUACUGGGCGUAAAGAGCUCGUAGGCGGUUUGUCGCGUCGUCUGUGAAAUUCUGCAACUCAAUUGUAGGCGUGCAGGCGAUACGGGCAGACUUGAGUACUACAGGGGAGACUGGAAUUCCUGGUGUAGCGGUGAAAUGCGCAGAUAUCAGGAGGAACACCGGUGGCGAAGGCGGGUCUCUGGGUAGUAACUGACGC